CCCGCGGACCAGAGAAGAAAUCCGCAAAGAACCCGCAUCUUCGUUUCUCCUCGCGAAACCUAGCUGCCGCCGCCGUCCACGUCCACGCCCGGCCGCCCUUCCGCUGCUGCCGCCACCGUCAACGUUGGCCGCUAGUAUGCCCUGCUACCAAUCCCAACCCUAGAGCGCCCCAGCCCCGCCCCAUCCUCCGCCGCUGCCACCGGUGUCCGCGGCGACAGCCGCGAGGGUGCGCGAGGAGGACGGGCUCUCUUCCGGCGCCAAUGAUGACGAGACAAUACGGAGGCUGCGCAAGGAGAACAGGUUGCUCAAGGAGGACGGCAAAGGAGUAUGCAAACAGAGCUAAUUUUUUCGAUGAAUGGUACAGUGGUAAUUUCUUUAGCUGUACGGCUCUAGGUACAGUCCUGCCAUGUUCUUGAUUGAUUCAAUCUCUAGGUGUACUGUACUAUGGCAGUGCUAUCUAAUUGAAUUGCUGUAGUACUAGUAGUAAAUUUGAGCUAGGGAUCAGGUUAGUUCUACUCUUAGCCUUCGGCCUAGUAUCUUCCAAGUGAACAAAAGAGCCUGGAAUGUGAAUAAGAUCAACCAACUUGAAUAAAAUACCAACUUGUUUUGGUUUUACUGACUGCUUGUAUUUUUAGUACUACAAUGAGUAGGUUGGCAUCCAUUAUUUUUCUGAACUCUUUGAGGCAGAAAUUUUGAUUCUGAAUAUGAUGCAGUUGUUUUGGCUCACAGCUAACUGUAUUUUGUUCCCAUGAUAAAACCGUUCCGAUCAGAAAUCUUGUUUUUUCACUUCAGAUUUGAAGAAGGAAUGAAGGUGCUUGGAGGAUAAAGAUUCUUCAAAGUUUAUUCUUUUACUUGUCACCAUCGUUAGUGUCCAAAGAUUUCAGGUCAUUAACUUCUAUCAAGAUUAUCACAGUGGCAAGUUAGGGAUUUGAUUAGUAUUCAGAAAACCCUACGAGGUAUCAAGUUGAAUUGCUGAAGAGCAAGUUGAUAUACUGUUGUACUGAUAACGUUCAUGUCAAAAUGUAAUAUAGCUAUCCUGGAUAAUGUAAGAUGCCAGAUUAAUGGACUCUUGACAAGUAAUAUGCAGUGCUUUUUUUA